GACGAACGCUGGCGGCGUGCCUAAUACAUGCAAGUCGAACGCAGUGGGGACGGGUGAGUAACACGUGGGUAACCUCCCAUCAGAGGGGAUAACACUUGGAAACAGGUGCAAAACCGAUACUGAUGGAUGGAGCCGCGGUGCAUUAGCUAUUUGGUGGGGUAACGGCUCACCAAGGCGACGAUGCAUAGCCGGCCUGAGAGGGUGACCGGCCACACUGGGACUGAGACACGGCCCAGACUCCUACGGGAGGCAGCAGUAGGGAAUCUUCGGCAAUGGACGAAAGUCUGACCCAGCAACGCCGCGUGAGUGAAGAAGGUUUUCGGAUCGUAAAGCUCUUUUGUUAGAGAAGCGUUAUCUAACCAGAAAGCCACGGCUAACUACGUGCCAGCCGCCGCGGUAAUUC
rnacentral:rRNA from 1 species